AGAUAGGUAACCUAGAGGUUAGAGUGGGAGAUAGGUAACCUAGAGGUUAGAGUGGGAGAUAGGUAACCUAGAGGUUAGAGAGGGAAAUAUGUAACCUAGAGGUUAGAGAGGGAAAUAGGUAACCUAGAGGUUAGAGAGGGAAAUAUAUAACCUAGAGGUUAGAGUGGGAAAUAUAUAACCUAGAGGUUAGAGAGGGAAAUAUGUAACCUAGAGGCUAGAGAGGGAAAUAGGUAACCUAGAGGUUAGAGAGGGAAAUAGGUAACCUAGAGGUUAGAGAGGUAACCUAGAGGUUAUAGAGGGAAAUAUGUAACCUAGAGGUUAGAGAGGUAACCUAGAGGUUAUAGAGGGAAAUAUAUAACCUAGAGAUUAGAGAGGUAACCUAGAGGUUAGAGAGGGAGAUAUAUAACCUAGAGGUUAGAGAGGUAACCUAGAGGUUAGAGAGGUAACCUAGAGGUUAGAGAGGGAGAUAGGUAACCUAGAGGUUAGAGUGGUAACCUAGAGGUUAGAGAGGUAAACUAGAGGUUAGAGUGGGAGAUAGGUAACCUAGAGGUUAGAGAGGGAGAUAGGUAACCUAGAGGUUAGAGAGGUAACCUAGAAGUUAGAGUAGGAGAUAGGUAACCUAGAGGUUAGAGAGGGAGAUAGGUAACCUAGAGGUUAGAGAGGGAGAUAGGUAACCUAGAGGUUAGAGUGGUAACCUAGAGGUUAGAGAGGGAGAUAUAUAACCUAGAGGUUAGAGAGGGAGAUAGGUAACCUAGAGGUUAGAGUGGUAACCUAGAGGUUAGAGAGGUAAACUAGAGGUUAGAGUGGGAGAUAGGUAACCUAGAGGUUAGAGAGGGAGAUAGGUAACCUAGAGGUUAGAGAGGUAACCUAGAGGUUAGAGUAGGAGAUAGGUAACCUAGAAGUUAGAGAGGGAGAUAGGUAACCUAGGGGUUAGAGAGGUAACCUAGAGGUUAGAGUGGGAGAUAGGUAACCUAGAGGUUAGAGAGGGAGAUAUAUAACCUAGAGGUUAGAGUGGGAAAUAUAUAACCUAGAGGUUAGAGAGGGAAAUAUGUAACCUAGAGGUUAGAGAGGGAAAUAUGUAACCUAGAGGUUAGAGAGGGAAAUAUAUAACCUAGAGGUUAGAGAGGGAGAUAUAUAACCUAGAGGUUAGAGAGGUAACCUAGAGGUUAGAGUGGGAGAUAGGUAACCUAGAGGUUAGAGAGGUAACCUAGAGGUUAGAGUGGGAGAUAGGUAACCUAGAGGUUAGAGAGGUAACCUAGAGGUUAGAGAGGGAGAUAUAUAACCUAGAGGUUAGAGAGGGAGAUAGGUAGUAACCUAGAGGUUAGAGUGGUAACCUAGAGGUUAGAGAGGUAAACUAGAGGUUAGAGUGGGAGAUAGGUAACCUAGAGGUUAGAGAGGGAGAUAGGUAACCUAGAGGUUAGAGAGGUAACCUAGAAGUUAGAGUAGGAGAUAGGUAACCUAGAGGUUAGAGAGGGAGAUAGGUAACCUAGAGGUUAGAGAGGGAGAUAGGUAACCUAGAGGUUAGAGUGGUAACCUAGAGGUUAGAGAGGGAGAUAUAUAACCUAGAGGUUAGAGAGGGAGAUAGGUAACCUAGAGGUUAGAGUGGUAACCUAGAGGUUAGAGAGGUAAACUAGAGGUUAGAGUGGGAGAUAGGUAACCUAGAGGUUAGAGCGGUAACCUAGAGGUUAGAGAGGUAAACUAGAGGUUAGAGUGGGAGAUAGGUAACCUAGAGGUUAGAGCGGUAACCUAGAGGUUAGAGUAGGAGAUAGGUAACCUAGAGGUUAGAGAGGGAGAUAGGUAACCUAGAGGUUAGAGAGGUAACCUAGGGGUUAGAGAGGGAGAUAGGUAACCUAGAGGUUAGAGAGGGAGAUAGGUAACCUAGAGGUUA